CCUCCCCUCCACCCACCUCUCUUCCCGCCCCGCCCCUCCCCGGCCCCCCGGGGUCCCCACUCCAGAGGGGAGGAGCGAGGCUCUCCGGCUUGGGGCAGGUGGGGCGGCCGCCCCCUGGUUCGCAGCCUGCCGAGGUGCGUGGACCCCGGGAUUGCGCACCUGCCCAGGGCUACGGCCUCCUGGGCUUGCAGCCGUCGGGGGUCGCCCGUCGGGUCGUUCCGAGCCGGAGGGGGAGCGCGUGGCCUCGGAGAAGCCCCCGCGAGGUCGCACCCCCGCCCUGGGCGCGAGCUGGGCCCCGUUUGCCGGGCUCCGGCCCCCGCCCCUGCGCAGCCAACGGCGCAGCCCGCCCCACCGGCAGCCCCACCGGCAGCCCCGCGCGCACCCGCACCCACUCGCGCCGCAGGUGCCGCGCUCUGCCGGGACCCUCAGAGGGAGAGUCGGCCCGGGAGCGCGGGGACGGCCCGGGGUGCUAUGAGGGGUGCCGGGUGCGGGUCCCACUGCUGUGGACACGAAGCUAUUGCAAUUGCGGGGGCCCCAAGGAGGGAUGUCCCCGAGGCAGGACUGAGAUUGUCCGAGGAGCAAAAGCAGACCCUGGACGGCGGGAGUGGCUGCGAGUGAGGGGUCCUGCAGCCUCACAGUUGUGCACAAGCGUCAGCCAUGCCAGCCGUCUACGCCGUGUUCGUGGUUAUAUAGAAUUCUGCUGAGCAGGAACCAACCUUCCCGAUUUACGGAGGAGGCCACCGAGGCUCAGAGAGGAUCCCGGCUGCAGGGCCGCGUGGUUAACAAGCAGGAAACAGCCUUCCCUGUUCUGGAGCCCGGGGAACCUCCCUCGUCCCCGCUGAUGGCAUUUACUCGCUGCUGCACCCGACACUUAGUGGGCAAGUCUCCUUAGCAAGCAGGAGCUUCUUGAAGAGAUGAGCAUGUUAGCAAACCAUUCUAAAGUACGCCGUUGCAUCUGUUACUUAACUUUCAUACGCCUCGAAACAACCCUCUCCACUAACUCACGUGAUUGGGUCCGAAGCAAAAAUUGACAAGGGAAGUAUGAGCCCGUAGCUGAGCACGUGGAUUCUGCAGCUUGACUUUUGAGGCCCAAACCCUGGUUCUGUCACUUCCUUGCCCUGUGAUCUUAGGUAGCUUAGCAUCUCUCUGCCUUUGUUUCUCUAUCUGUAAAAUGGGGUUAAUCAUAGUACUUGCAAGGCUGUGUGAGGAUUGAGUCAAUAUUGAUAAAACAUUCAGAAACUGGCAUCAUAAGGGCUUACGCAACUUUUAGCCUUUCUACUUUUGUCUUCACAGCAGAACUGUAUGUGGCCACGUGAUUAAACAGUGUCAAGCAGGUGGAAAGCACCAGGUGCUUCACCUCACAGCCAGGAGCUCCUGCGGGCCAGUCUUAAUUUACUUUCCCCUUUCGACUCCUUGUUAGCUGCAGGGGUGACGGAGCAAUGACCCAUUUGAAUGAAGAUGGCCUGUGCCAUCUGUGAGCCGGCACAAGGAGGACAAAUGGAUGGCAAAGGCCUUGGUGCUGGGGACAGGUCAUUGCAGACCAGCUGCUAGACAGCUCAGAGCCUCCUCGGGAGAUAACCUGCCAGACGCAGACCUCAAGAAAGGCUACGGUCCAGGGGUCAUGACAUCUGGCAGGUGUGUGUGGUUCACACGCCUGUAGGAGAGCUUUGCCAACUUCCCCCGGACCCAUACUCCCAACUUGCCGUCGAAAUCUGUCACAGUUCACACCGACGGCCAGGAGGCCCCCUCUAGCUGUUCCCUCUGUCCUGUCCUCAGAAGGGUGGGGCCACAGGGAACCCUUCUCUGUCAAGUGCUGCAAGUUGGCAGUGGUGGCGGCGCUGUGCUCUCCAGGAAGGUGUGCAGAGUCCUUCUUCAGAACCUGUGAACAUGACCUUAUUUGGAAAUUGGGUGUUUUCAGGCCUAUCAAGGUAAGAUGAGGUCAUGUGCAGGGGUGCGUGGAGCCCCAAUCCAAUAUGACCGGUGUCCUUAGAGGAAGAGGAGAAGAGACACAGAGGCAGACAGGAGGAGAUGGCCAUGAGGAUGGAGCCAGAGACGGGAUGAGGCGUCUGUAAACUAAGGCUGGCGCCACCAGGCAAUGAUGAAGAAGAGGGGACCCUCUCCCAGAGCCUUCGGGGGCAUCGGAUCUCCGCCUUCUGGUCACCAGAUCUGUGAGAGAAGAGAAUUUACUGCUUGAAGCCCCAUCCGGGCUCCUUUGUCUCACCAUCCCAGGAUGCUAACGGAUGCCGUCCUGCAUGUGGCUGUGGUGCGUGGCCCCCGGGCUCCGGCUGACGGUGGCACAGAUCGGGGCGGCUCAGCGUGUUCUUGCAUGUGAGCGGCAUCAGGGGGUACCUGCAAACGGAGGCCAACAGGAACCCAUGUAUCCCAUUUUCUCAGUGUUUUGUGCUGGGAAUAGGCCCCAGUGAGGUGGGGCUGGGGUGUGGUUUGAAGGGGGACGUAGGUACAGUUUCCAGCGACCUCACGAAGAGCUCCCCAUCCUUCACGUUACUGUGCCAGGAGACGCCUGGCCCUCUGUGUUGAAAGUGCUUGUGUUUUCCUGGAAAAGGUGCCAAGUGCAGCUAGGUGCAGCCCGGAUGAGUUUCCCAGGGUCACUGGCACAGAGUACCACCAACUGGGAGGCUUAAAACCACAAGAAUUUAUUCACCCCGGUCCCAGAGACUGGAAGUACGACCUCCAGGUGUGGACAAGGUGGCCCCCCGCCCCCGACAUCCCAGAUGUGGCCUUGCCACCACGCUGGGCAUCCCUCGGCUUAUAGACGGCUCGCUCUGAUCACCUCCUCGUCCUCACCGGGCCGUGGUCUCUGAGUUCUCUCCUUCCCUCUUCCUAUAAGGACACUGGUCAUACUGGGCCAGGGCUCACUCUCCUGCUCCAGUGUGAGCUCAUCGGAACUAAUUACAUCUGCAACUAGCCUAUUUCCAACCAGCGCAUUCUGAGGUGCCGGGGUUCAGACUUGAACAUGUCUUUGUUCAGAGAAGGGACACUAGUUAACCCCCCAUCCCAGAUUCUUUAAUUCUGUUUCUCGUGACUAGGGGCUGUUCUCAGCAGGACGGGGCUUCAGGGGAACACAGGAAAGGCUGCUUCCCCAGGGACGUGGGGCUCUCUUCAGGCUGAAAGUGGGGGUUGGCAACAGUCAUACCCGCAACUAGGCACAAUGGUUUCUUCUAGAAGGAUUGGCAGUAUUUUCCAGGAACAGAUCUAGCUUCUGCACUGAUGGCCCCGGGGUAUGAGCUGGGGGUUUCCUUGCCAGUGAUGGCUCUUCCAGCAGAGAGGAGUCUCCCAGCUGCCCGCUGCGUUGGUGACAAGGGACCUGGCCUCUCGCUCGGCACCCCCAGGAGCCCUGGGUGCUGCCUGCAGCUCAGAAAUGAAGUGAGAGUGUCAUCAGACACCAGUCCUUGCUGGUGCUCCAGUGGGAGGAUGCCAACGUGACACCUAAGUACCGUGUUCAGGACAGGAAGCCACACCACUGCCACCUCCAGAGUGCAGGUGACAGAAAGGAUGGAGGGACCCAUUUUAUUAUCUUGUCAUGAAACAAAGAGGAACGUUAUGUUGGGAGCAGAGUCAGAGGUUUCUCUGAACAAAACAAACCAGCUGCCAUUGGCCUCUGUCCUUCUAGCGAGAGCUUACGGGUGACAUACUGUCCCUCACACGUACUUAGUCACUAACCUGUGAAACUUUAAGAACGUGCUCAUUAUAGAUGGGUACCUGUGAAAUACACCCUAUUAUCUUCCUGCCUCUACCUAAAUCGUGUACUCACCACCCUGUAAGCUUUUUUUUUUUUUUUUUUUUUUUAAUUAAUCUGCCUAGGGAUACCUGCGGUGGCUCAGUGGUUUAGCACCUGCCUUCAGCCCAGGGUGUGAUCCUGGAGACCCCAGAUCUAGUCCCGCAUCGGGUUCCCUGCAUGGACCUGCUUCUCCCUCUGUGUCCCUCAUGAAUAAAUAAAAUCUUUAAAAAACUUAAUCUGGCUAA
rnacentral:lncRNA from 1 species